GCCUGGGUGGCUCAGUCGGUUAAGCAUCCAACUUCGGCUCAGGUCAUGAUCUCAGGGUUCGUGGGUUCGAGCCCCACCCUGGGCU
rnacentral:tRNA from 1 species